CCCUUAGAUGUUCUGGGCCGCACACGCGCUACACUGAAGGAGGCAGCGUGUACUCCUGGAUCGAAAGAUUUGGGUAACCCGCGAAUCUCCUUCGUGCUAGGGAUUGAGGUUUGCAAUUAUCCUUCAUGAACGAGGAAUUCCCAGUAAGUGCAAGUCAUAAGCUUGCGCUGACUACGUCCCUGCCUUUGUACACACCGCCCGUCGCUACUACCGAUUGAAUGAUUUAGUGAGGACUUCGGACUGGGACCGAUGCGGCUUUCGGGCUGCGUCGGUAUUCUGGAAAGAUGUCCAAACUGUAUCAUUUAGAGGAAGUAAAAGUCGUAACA
rnacentral:rRNA from 1 species